rnacentral:rRNA from 1 species
GAUGAACGCUGACAGAAUGCUUAACACAUGCAAGUCAAAGGGGCGGACGGGUGAGUAACGCGUAAAGAACUAGCCUCACAGAUAGGGACAACAACUGGAAACGAAUGCGAAGACAUGAAACUGUGAGAGAGCUUUGCGUCCCAGCAGCGAGUUGGAGAGGUCACGGGUCACCAAGGCGAGGAUGGGUAGCCGGCCUGUGCGGGUGAUCGGCCACAAGGGGACUGGGACACGGCCCUUACUCCUACGGGCGGAAGCAGUGGGGACUAUCGGACAAUCGACCAAAGUCUGAUCCAGCAAUUCGGUGUGCACGAUGAAGUUUUCGGAAUGUAAAGUGCUUUCAUUUAGGAAGCGGUACCAACAGAAAAAGUGACGGCUAACUACGUGCCAGCCGCCGCGGUAAUUC